AUUGAACGCUGGCGGCAGGCCUAACACAUGCAAGUCGAACGGUAACAGGAAACAGCUUGCUGUUUCGCUGACGAGUGGCGGACGGGUGAGUAAUGUCUGGGAAACUGCCUGAUGGAGGGGGAUAACUACUGGAAACGGUAGCUAAUACCGCAUAACGUCGCAAGACCAAAGAGGGGGACCCUCGGGCCUCUUGCCAUCGGAUGUGCCCAGAUGGGAUUAGCUUGUUGGUGGGGUAACGGCUCACCAAGGCGACGAUCCCUAGCUGGUCUGAGAGGAUGACCAGCAACACUGGAACUGAGACACGGUCCAGACUCCUACGGGAGGCAGCAGUGGGGAAUAUUGCACAAUGGGCGCAAGCCUGAUGAAGCCAUGCCGCGUGUAUGAAGAAGGCCUUCGGGUUGUAAAGUACUUUCAGCGGGGAGGAAGGGAGUAAAGUUAAUACCUUUGCUCAUUGACGUUACCCGCAGAAGAAGCACCGGCUAACUCCGUG
rnacentral:rRNA from 1 species